GACAGAGGUGCCGAGCGUUAGGCGGAAUCACUGGGCUUAAAGCGCGUGUAGGCGGAUGGGAACGUCGGUCGUUGAAAUCCCCCGGCUUAACCGGGGAACGGGCGCCGAUACGACCCGUCUGGAGGAACGUAGGGGGAGCUGGAACUUCCGGUGGAGCGGUGAAAUGCGUUGAGAUCGGAAGGAACGCCCGUGGCGAAAGCGAGCUCCUGGACGUUUUCUGACGCUGAGACGCGAAAGCCAGGGGAGCGAACGGG
rnacentral:rRNA from 1 species